rnacentral:rRNA from 1 species
GAUGAACGCUAGCGACAGGCCUAACACAUGCAAGUCGAGGGGCAGCACGAAGUAAACUUGCUUACUUUGGUGGCGACCGGCGCACGGGUGCGUAACAGGUGUGCAAUCUGUCCAUAAUCGGGGAAUAGCCCAGCGAAAGUUGGAUUAAUGCUCCAUGUGAGUUUUAGAGGCAUCUCUUUAACUUGAAACGUAAGGAUUAUGGGUGAGCACGCUUCUGAUUAGGUAGUUGGUGAGGUAACGGCUCACCAAGCCGACGAUCAGUAGGGGUUCUGAGAGGAAGGUCCCCCACAUUGGAACUGAGACACGGUCCAAACUCCUACGGGAGGCAGCAGUGAGGAAUAUUGGUCAAUGGGCGAAAGCCUGAACCAGCCAAGUCGCGUGAAGGAUGAAGGUUCUAUGGAUUGUAAACUUCUUUUGUCUGAGGGUAAAAAAGCGGACGUGUCCGUUCUUGCAAGUAUCAGACGAAUAAGCAUCGGCUAACUCCGUGCCAGCAGCCGCGGUAAAAC